rnacentral:rRNA from 1 species
GACGAACGCUGGCGGCGUGCUUAACACAUGCAAGUCGAACGGAAAGGCCCUGCUUUUGUGGGGUGCUCGAGUGGCGAACGGGUGAGUAACACGUGAGUAACCUGCCCUUGACUUUGGGAUAACUUCAUGAAACUGGGGCUAAUACCGGAUAGGAGCUCCUGCUGCAUGGUGGGGGUUGGAAAGUUUCGGCGGUUGGGGAUGGACUCGCGGCUUAUCAGCUUGUUGGGUGGGUAGUGGCUUACCAAGGCUUUGACGGGUAGCCGGCCUGAGAGGGUGACCGGACACAUUGGGACUGAGAUGAGACACAGCCUCCUACGGGAGGCAGCAGUGGGGAAUAUUGCACGAUGGGCGGAAGCAUGAUGCAGCAACGCCGCGUGCGGGAUGACGGCCUUCGGGUUGUAAACCGCUUUCGCCUGUGACGAAGCGUGAGUGACGGUAAUGGGUAAAGAAGCACCGGCUAACUACGUG